UGAUCAUUCCUUUAACAUUUUCACUUGAUCAAUUUAAAAAACAAAAAAGAAGUCCAACAAUAAGAGUAUCUCUAUCAAGCUAGUUAUUUCAAACUUUUUUCCAAAAUUUGGAGAAUACCUUCAAAAAUUCUUUCUACAGAAAACCCCAGUUCUUCGGUGGAGAAGCAAGAGACUAACGACCAUGCGCCUAACCUGAGUUGCAAGAGGCGGCGAGGCUGAGACGAUGGCGGCGAGAAGAGGUCGGAGGCGAGCGUGUACGAUGAAGAGGACGACGAUGGAGCUCCACCCCGUUUGCAGCUUUUAGCCUUCAAAGCUGUCAUGGAGACCCUAGACGUUGAGGAGGACGAUGUGUUUUUUCCUUUGGCUAUUAGGAUUUUGGUUUAGAUCUGUUGGGUUUUUAUGCUUUACUUGGGUUUUGAGUCAUUUGAGCUGAUUUUAGUUCUAGAUCUAAUUGGUCUUCUGGGUUGUACGUGUAUAAGAUCUGUUCAUAACAGCUUGGUUUUUUCUGUGGUUUCGAAGGGUUGCAGCUCAAGUGCUCGACCUUUUUCCUGAAUGGGGACACUAGAUGGGUAUUAAAGCAACAUCCAGUUGUUUUGUUUGAUAUUUGUCA